AGUCAGCCCGGCACAGCCCCUUUCCGGCCCUCAGGCCCCAUCCCCAGCCUGGAGUGACACAGCCCGCGCCCCGCCCUAUAUCUCCGCCCCCAGCCUGCAGCCUUAAGGGCACUCCUUGCCCCUCCCCGCCUCCAGGCCCCGCCCCAGGGCUCCCAGCUGCCGGGCCGCGAGCUUCCAGCUGCGGGACUUCCGGCCCCCUUUCUCGCAAGAUGGCGUCCGCUGCAGGGACCUACCAGUCUUGCUUUCCUCUCGCUCUGUUCAGGCAUAUCCUUGGCUCUGCUUUCUGACCAAUCUCAGCCUCAUGUGAUACACCAAUUUCUCUCUUGGUUAGCCUAGGCUUUUCAUAACAGAGUAUAAAACCAAGGACUUAGAACAAGGACUGGAUCUAAAUCCUUUCCCAAAGCAGUGUGAUCUUGACCUUCCGACCUUCCUGAGUUAAAAGCGAUUAAAAUGUAAAGCUAUAGCCCUGCGCUCGGUUUAGAAUGAGGCCAUGGUCGGUGACUGCUAGUAUUUCUCUAAGGAAACUAUGGGCAUAUCCCUCAGUGUACUUUAAAUGGAUAGUGGAAAACUUCCAGUUUCUUGAGGUGAAAGUGCCCUAGAUAUAGUGCUGCACUGUGGAGAACACCUUGGAAUAAGAUGGAAUUGUAUAACCCUAAGUGUGCUGCAACCCCAAAGUGUGCUGUGACUUUAAGAGUGCUGUAACCUAAGUAUAACACAAUAAUGAGUGAUGUGUAAUCAUAAGAUAUGAAAGUAAUGAAAGUAGAACCUUAAGUGGUAUGGAACUGAUAAGGGCGUACCCCCGAAAAUUGGGCAGAGUAUGCCCCAAGCUGGACAGUGUGAUAAGUCUGAACCAAUACCACGAACGCCCAGCUAGAAUAGUAUAAAAGGAGCUGAAGACCCCAAGCAAAUCGACGAUCCGUCCCACCAACCAGUCGACCAGUCAAUCUGAUGAUCUGACUACCGACCGAGACAUCUGCACUCCUGAUCCCGCUGGGAGGAGCAUCGCCGCCGACCAGACGAGACCAGAGGACGAGGCAAGCGGAGAGGCGGAUAGCCUAGCGCUGACUCGACGCCCUUCGUCUACGGAUUGGACCCUCUGACCCUGCGGGAGGAAACGUCGCACUCCCAUUAAGGACUUGCGCAGUACAGAUGAUGUGUGGAGGAGUUCUUUGGAGGUGCAGUGGCCAUCUUCUGACCAUAGAGGGCAAGCUUGAAGAUUAAAACCAAUGUGCUCAGGAUGAAGAUUUGGGAAUGUGGAAAGAGUCCAGUCCUCAGGAAGUCAUGGAGCCAUGGAAGUGCUAAGUAGGAGAAUGGGAACUCCUGAAUCUGAACCUCCUCCUUUGCAGCAAAACAGUCCCCAGGUUUCCAAGUGACUGUAGAAGAUUAGCAGGCAGAGCCAACCUGCAAAUGUGCUACCCCCAGACUUCUUAUUAUGGUUGAUUGUGAGUGUAGUCCACUUUUAGUUGAUCACUUGCAGCUACAAACAACCUAACAGACAUAGUGGGCAUGUUUAAAUAAAUCUCUUUUGUGUUUCUGUUUGCUAUUUUUAAGCCCUUGAUGUAGUGGGGAAAAAAGGUCUAUUAAGUCCUGACCCAACAUUUCGCAUAAAAUUGAACUCACUUAUGCACUUGAAUAGAAUGAAAAUGAUGAUUCAGUUAGCACAAAGCCAUGAAUCAUGAAAACUAAAUUAUUAUGGUAGCUUAUUUUACAUAAAAUCAGCUUUUGAUAGGAUAUAAAUUGAAAAGCACACAAUAUAAGUAGUAGAGGUAGAGGCUUUAAAAUAUCUAUGUUGAUGAUAGGAAAUGAAAUUAAAAUAUUUUGCAAGGAUUAUUCUCAAAGCACAUAACUGAGAACUGACUGAGUGUUGGCAACAAAGGAAAAUUUAUCUCCUGUUACAUGAUGUGGGACAUAACAUUCUUAUUAAGUAGAAUUGGAAUUUUCUGAAUCUCCUUUGCAACAAAACAGCUCCCAAGUUGCAAAUUGAAUCACAAGAUUAGUAGGCAGACUGAUGAGGAUUUAAUUUUUAAAAUAUGCUGUAAUGUUUGAUGUCUAAGAAGCAGCCAUAAAACUGAAGAAGUAAAGGACAGCUGAUGAUCUGCCCUGUCCUUGCUCCUGCUUGUUCUCUUUGCAUUCCCAGACUGUGUUGUUUGGAAGCAAAGCUCUGUUGUUUUCUGGUCAGAAGAUUGCACCUUUGUGCCUGUAGACAAGGUGAUGACAGCCCCGGUUCCAGGAACCCUUGCUCACAAGCCUUCUUUGUGCUGGGCGAGGAAGUUCUAGCUUGGGAUUGCAUGACAUCACCAUGCUCCCACCCACUUCUCUGGAUCCCUCAACUCACAGAGAGUCAUUGUUUGUGGCUUUCGAUCUGAACAGCUGCUGGCUUUUCCUGGCUUCAUCACUGUGAAGAUGGUGAUCGUGCAAUGCUGAUAUCAAGAGAUCUGUGCUGCAGUCGGCCAUGGAUCAGACCAUCAGCCCUGGGCUCUGUUUAGGAAAGUCUGAUCACCAUAGCUGUAGCACAAUGCCUCCCAGCUUCCCUAGCUGGUCAGAGGUUUCCCCCACACAUUUCAUUGUUUUGGGUGCCUUCUUAGGUCGGAUCUCAUCUCUGCCCAAUAAGCAAAAUUCCCCAUGUGUCUUUAGAAGGAUCCUUCUGAAAAGGGAUUUCAAUUUAGGUAAUACUAAAAUUAGGCAAAGUAAGUCAGGAGUCUAACUAUGAAAAGGUACCUAAUGAGAAUUCCAGCUUCACAAUAAAGUUCAAAAUUUUUUAAAAUGCAUGAAGUAUUGCAUUUAAACAGUUGAAUAGAACUUGUUUUGGACAAGCCACUGAAGGGAACACUGCAAAGCUAGCAUUCAGCUUUCAAGAUUAAAGAAGAGCAAAGAGCAACUUCAAAGCCCAUUGGGGAAUCUAUCAUGCUUCCCAAGGUGGCAAGGCAGGUAGUGGACUCACUGCUUCUUCUGACACUGGGGGCUUGGAUGCUGAGUCCAAGGGGCAUGCUUGAAUCUCCAGUAACUUCUGUGGUACUUGAUGGAGGUAGCCAGGUACACCAGAGGAGUUCAGGAGAUAUUCAUGGGCCUUACCUGGAUAACUCUUACCUGGAUCUAAUGUGUCUUCCACACUAGAUCAAUGCAUCUGUAACCAUCUUUCUGUCCAGAGCAGGAAAGCACGCCUGAAAUGCUGUGGAGGAUGUGUAUACUUGAGAUAAUUUUUCAGGAAUGUAGAGCUUUGAUUUCUCAGAUUUUCUUUUUAAAACUAUGAGCAAGAAUAAAAUAAAAUAUAGGAGAGGACAGACAAUCCUUGAGUGUAAGGAGAUGGAUAAUGGCUUGGGGCAGCUGAAUAAAUAAUGUAUAUUUAUCUGGCUCUCUUGACCUUACCCAAGCCUUUUUACAACUACCAGGUGUGUUAUGGACACAUUUUUCUAUGAAGUCAUCAAACUAAAUAGAGUGGAUCCUGAAUGACAAUCAAACCUCUAAAAAAGGAAAGCAAGAAGAAAAGCAUCACCAUCAUUUCCUCUCUGAGAUGUCCUUUGUCUUUGUCGUGGAAGCAUAGACUCAGGGGUGUGAGAUCAGAUUCGAGACUGUGCACUGUCACAUGGCAUUUUGUGCUUUCCGCCCAUCCUCAUUAUGGGCUGCUUGGGUUUGUCCUACACAAGUAACCCUGGUGCUCACUACACCCCAGGAACAAUUCAAUGAUGCUACCACAGUGUUUUGUACCUGGAAUGGGAAGGGCUCGGAAAAUGCUUGAUAAGUAAAUAAAGCAUGUUUUGUUUAAGCAAUAUUUAUGAACAGUGAAG
ensembl:lncRNA